AUCACGCUGCAAAAACAAGCAUGUAUCACCAAUUCCCCAUCGCUGCCCAGCCGCCGCACAUCUCCUCGACCCAGCCGCCGCGCCCUUUCUCCCUCCCUCCCUCCCUCCCUCUGCCUCCUCAUGUUCCCUCGCCUCGACUAUCAUCCGGAUGGCGACCCCCGCCUCGGCAGGGACCCAUCGCGCUGGCACCUUCGCUGCGAUCCUCGCCGUCGUUGUGGUGUUCGCCCUCGCGCCGGGGGCUAUCCUGCUGGGCAGGAAUGGAGUGGUCUGCUACAUCCAGCGAUAGUGCCGCCAACCGACACGGAGUCACAAUGGCGUGGUUGUGGGAUUACUCCGUCGUGGCCACCAUCACGGGACCAGGAUUCCUUGGGUCGCUGCCUCCGCCGCCUCCGCUGACCUCUGAGACCGCCACCUCCGCCGCCGCCCACCGCCAUCGCGAAACCCCAGCGAGGAGCGGCGCAAGGCCAUGCCCUACAUCACCGAACAUCACAGGUAUUUAUGUUCUGAUCAUUUUUCUAUAUUUUUCUGAUCGUUUGUAUGCUUCACCUAUCCUGAAUCAUAGGUACAUAGGUAUACAGAUACAAUGUGAGGGCGCUGGACGCAGGGACCUCUGCCAGCCUGACCAUGCACAUGUGAAGCUUUUGUUCGAGAUGGACGAGCGAAGGGCAUACGAACGACCGCCAAAUUGUGGCAGAGGACGUGAGUGGCCAGGAUCGUUGCGAGCUGGGUGGAUGCAGGCAUGGUGAAGUGUGUUGGCAGAGCAGAUAAGGGAAGCUGGGCAGGGAACCAGCGGAGUGGCAGGCGUUGCAACGGAGUUCGGAGGACGGAUCAUGGUGGGAGGUGGGGUAACACGGGUCUUGGCCUCUUGGGUCUGAAGAGUUAUUUUCUCAACUGUUUUUGGAUAUAGUUUUCUCAACGGCUCUGUCUGCAAGGGGCAUGUUGGAGAAGCUAGGAGCAAGGAUUUUGUAGUAGAGAUAUGGUCUGGGAUGGGAAACAUAUUUGGGAGAUAUGUUGCUCGGAGCAAAAAAAAUGUUUAAACCUGUUGUUGGCAUCUUAGAAGCCGUUGCAGGCUUCGACCAUAUGGACUAGCUUUUGUCGAUUAAAAACAUACAAGUAGUUCUUGUAAGAUACUUUCAUCUAUUCUCUAAUUUACUUGCAGUACGAAUUUUUCACCAAAUUGGCUUUUGGAGAAAAUGCUUGCUUGAGAAUUUAAGACUUGAAUGCUGGAAUGACAGAUUAUGAGAUACCGAGAAAGGAAAUAUUGCCUUUAGUGUGUUCAUUUAAUGAAGUGAUUGGCCUCAUUUGCAAAUAAUAAAUAAAAAUGAAGUUAUUGGCCUCUUUUCUAUUUGUUGCCCCAUUUUUAUACUGACAUUGGGCAUUUAGAUACAACUAAAGGUGUUUUUGUUUGUUUUUUAAGAAAUUUUAUAAUUUGUACUCCCUCCUUCCAUCUAUAUAGGGCCUAAUGCGUUUUUCAAGACCGUCAUUGACUAUUGAUAAGAUUAAUAAUAC